rnacentral:lncRNA from 1 species
AUGGUCUCAGACAUCACACAAGCCUUCCAGAAAGAACCCAUCUGCCUCUUCUGUCUGAACUAACUCGUAGACCCCAUCACCACAGGCUGUGGCCCCAGCUUCUGUAGGCCCUGUCUCUGCCUUUCCCGGGAAGAAGCCAAAAUUCCUACCGGCUGCCCACAUGCGGGGAACUGUCACAGCAGGAGGACGUCAAAACUAAUAUUUUUCUGAAGAAUCCAGUGUGCAUUGUCAUAAAAGCCAGUCUCUGGCAAUUCCUGAGCUCUAAUGAACAAAUGUGUGGGAUCCACAGGGAGAAAAAAUGAUAUUUGGAGCGGUGGAUAAGAGCCUGCUUCAUUUGCUGUUCUGGAACACUCAGGAGCACGGGGCUCACACACACUGUGAGGGGCAACUAAGGAACACUGGGGAGAUGAUAAUGAAGCAAAUGAGAUCUUUUUGGGAAAAAAUUCAAGAAAACCAAAGAAAGUUAAAUAAGGAGAGCAGGAAAACCAACCAG